rnacentral:rRNA from 1 species
UGCAAGUCGAACGAACCUUCGGGUUAGUGGCGGACGGGUGAGUAACGCGUGAGAAUCUGCCCUCAGGAGGGGGACAACAGCUGGAAACGGCUGCUAAUACCCCAUAUGCCGAGAGGUGAAACGAAUUUCGCCUGAGGAUGAGCUCGCGUCUGAUUAGCUAGUUGGUAUGGUAAUGGCGCACCAAGGCAUCGAUCAGUAGCUGGUCUGAGAGGAUGAUCAGCCACACUGGGACUGAGACACGGCCCAGACUCCUACGGGAGGCAGCAGUGGGGAAUUUUCCGCAAUGGGCGAAAGCCUGACGGAGCAACGCCGCGUGAGGGAUGAAGGCCUCUGGGCUGUAAACCUCUUUUCUCAAGGAAGAAGAUCUGACGGUACUUGAGGAAUAAGCCACGGCUAAUUCCGUGCCAGCAGCCGCGGUAAUACGGGAGUGGCAAGCGUUAUCCGGAAUUAUUGGGCGUAAAGCGUCCGCAGGCGGUCCAGAAAGUCUGCUGUUAAAAAGUGGAGCUUAACUCCAUCAUGGCAGUGGAAACUACUGGACUAGAGUGUGGUAGGGGCAGAGGGAAUUCCCGGUGUAGCGGUGAAAUGCGUAGAUAUCGGGAAGAACACCAGUGGCGAAGGCGCUCUGCUGGGCCAUAACUGACGUUCAUAGACGAAAGCCAGGGGAGCGAAAGGGAUUAGAUACCCCUGUAGUCCUGGCCGUAAACGAUGAACACUAGGUGUCGGGGGAAUCGACCCCCUCGGUGUCGUAGCCAACGCGUUAAGUGUUCCGCCUGGGGAGUACGCACGCAAGUGUGAAACUCAAAGGAAUUGACGGGGGCCCGCCACAAGCGUGAGUAUGUGUUUAUUCGAUGCACGCGAAAACCUCACCAGGUUUGACAUCCUGCGAUCUCCUGGA